CCUCACUGCUCUUUCUCAGAAAAAUUCUUCCUCAUAUCCAACCUGAAUCUCCCCUGGUGCAACUUAAAGUUGUGCUGAUAAUUCCGUUUCAAUGCGUCUAUCUGUAGCAGAGAAGCACUAAGAGACCGUACAAGAGGAUUCCCUCACAGUUUCGUAAUGGUUUAUCAGGUAAAAUGAGAGCAGUACAAACCUGCUGUCCACAUGCUGACUCCAUUUGCACUUAUCUACGAAAAGGGGACUGCAGGACAAAGCCCCCGGAUUCAGAGUUUAUUCAGAGCCGAUGUACAGACCAACAACAUGUACCAGCUGCCAAGGGGUACCUGAUCCCAAACUAGGUCAAGAAAGAGCAAACAAACAAGCAAACAAACCCUGUCCUGUCAAACCAAAUGGAAAUGGCAUAAAAAAAGGAAAAUCUGCCUAAGCCUUAGAAGAGGGCUAGCAAGCAAAGAAGUAUCAGAACAAGGAGGUGUGCGUAUGUUAUUGUUAAAGGACUGCAUGUGCUGAUCUGCUUUUCGCAUCUAGCUAGUUUCUUCCUAAAUACAAAAUCUGCUACAGUUUUUCACCAUCUGAGUCCCAUGUGGCCCAGUCAUCAAACCUUCAUAACACGGGUUAAUAAAGACACAUGGUAAAUUCUGUCAGUUCAGGGGAACACUAAGCACUUGGUGAAACUGAAAAAAUGUUUAACCUGACCUGUCUGCUCGAGUCAUACAUUUAGAAACACUGGAGAUAUUUCUUCCAUAAAUUCUACCUUAUUGGAGAUUAGAAAUUUAUCAUUAUUAGUAUCAAGUGCUCUCCUUAAAAUUUAGCUAAGUCUGUUCAGAAAAAUUUUAUCAUCAAGGUCAUUGAAUUUGUCUUUUAUUUCUGCAGCACAUAAUACUAUAAUUUGAUUUGAAGCACGCUUGUACCAGACCUAAUUUUAAAAAGUCUUUAUUUUAGUGAAAAUCAUCAAUAAUUAGAAAUGCAGUGUGAUAGAAAACAUGAAUCCUAUUUCUGUUCUCAUUUAAAUCCUUCCGAAGCAGAUGUCUAGUGUUUGUCAAGAUAUAACUAGAGACUAAUAUAGUUCUUGCCCCAUUUUGAGCUGCAGGAGGGCCUGUUCCUUCAUACUUUUUCAACAGUGAGAUAAGUUAAGGCAAAACAAUACAUUAAGAAGGAUCCUCCAUUCUCAAAAUCAAAUGUCAAGUAAAGUGAAAGUCAAGAGCUGCCCUUAAUUUUUUUUCUCCUGAGGGAUUGAGAGGCGUGUACUCUCAUAGAAUGAAAGUUCUGUUUUGUCUUCCUUUCAUUUUUAGGAAAAAUAAAAUUGUUUCUUUGGUGUUAUGUUAUGUAACCAAGAAUCUGUGUUUAACUCAGAAUUAGCGAGGGAGACAGGUGUCUGGGUACAGAGCAUCUUUCUUAGUCCAGCCUGGGUGCAAGUGGGUGUAUUUAAAGCUGUAUGUGAGUCACAGCAAUCCCACUGGUGUUGCAUGUAAGGUCCUAGAUCUCAUGAGAACCUAAUCCAAUAUAUGUUACUGCAGGGCUGGGGUGGAUGGAGUAUUCUUUCUUCUGCACAGGGCCACGCACUGGAGGUACACACCCUGACUGUAUUGAGCUAUGUGGCAAGACCCCACUCCCUCAAAGGUCACAUAACCUAGGCUAGCAUGCACAGUGGGAUGGGCCAGCAGUGCUUCCAGAAAGACCUACAUUUCUUGGCUGUUAGAGAAUGCCUCUUCCUCGUAGGCAAAUAAGACUGAUGUCUCCGGGAGUAGAAGCAGUGCUAUGCUACUAGCAUGGGUUUCCAGUAUUGCAGCAGGAAACUGUGUGAUAAAAGCUAAUGCUGAGAUGUGAAAGGAUCCUUUCUUAAAUCCAUACCUGCAACAGUACCUACGAUAUCCCACUUAACUGUGACAGAACUUGCCUGCUCUUCUUGACAUUCUGGAAAUGCUGUGAAAUACUGUGUGACUGUCAGCACUCACUUAUGUUGUCACUAACCCAAGUGAGAGUAUCAAGCAGAGCUGGUCCUGUGUCCUAGCUGAGCUAGCUUGUCUGAAUUUAAAUCCUUUCUCCAGACUAAAAUGAGAUUAUUUCAUGUGUCCACAAGUAGUCACUAUAACAGUGCAAGAACACAAGUAGCACAAACGAGACACUCCCUCCAGCAUUUACAAAUGACUGAGCUGAAAGGCUGCUUUACUGGUGUGUAACAAUUGUGUUUAGAGAGAUGGCUAUCUGCAUGCCAGAUAGGCAUGACCUGCUGUGUGUCUGGAAACGUAGAUCUGUGCAACAACUAGUAGAACAGGCUGGUCUGGGACCAUUCUUUCUUAAUAUGGUUGUGUACUCUGAAACCACUGAGAACUGAUCUGGUUUCAGAGCUUUAUUGGAGUAGUUUGAAACCCACACUAACCUAGACUUGAAACACACCAAUACAAAAUAUUCAGGGCUCUGAAACAUUUCUGAAAAGCAGGAAAAUUGCUAAGGGCAGAAUUAGGGCAAGUAGCAGCAAUAUUAAGAUGAUGUAAUUAAAGUACCUCACACUGAAGGUAACAAUCCACUUGGCAAUGCUAAUACAGUAUGAUACAAGAUUCCAGGUAUCAGCAUCAUCUCAAUAGAAGAAAAACAUCUUGUGAGUAUUUUUAGCUUUUCCACAUCUCUUGCUUAGGCAGCUAUUAAUAAUGUGCAACACUGAGUUAUCCAAUAUCUUUUUUUCCUUAAUAGUUAGCAAAGUAAUCAAACACACAUCCCUUUUCAUCUGACAUUUUUAAAGUGUGCUUUAAGAUGCAAAAGUGUGAGGCAUUUUGCCUUUGACAGACAACAGCUGUGCCUCAAUUAGUUAAAUGGUCUUUCAGGAGGUCUCAACAUACUCCUGAAGUUUUGUUGUAUGAUCAAAGUAAUGUUGUGUGAUAUCUAUGAUGAAAAACAACAUGAUGAGUUUGUAAAAAAUUUAACGUUGAUUAAACAAAAUGGAGAGCUGUUAAAAAAGGUUUAGUGUCAUCUGUGUAGUAUUAUUUUAAUGAUUUUUUUGACUGAUGGAGAUUUUGCAGAUUAUUCUAAAUAUUAUUAUCUUCCUGAACAUUUGUCAUCUAGGUCUGUGAUUGCUAUUUUGUUAGCUGUUUUCCUAUUUGUUUAUCAUGUGGUAGUUAGAUUUAAUUUUUGAUUUAUUCAGUAUGUGUGAUUAUUCAACUCCGAGGAAUGCAGUGGAUAAUAAAGCUAGUUCACUUUAUUUUAAUUUCAAAAGUCACAUACAUGUAUUUGCUGGUUUAAGUGUGCAUAUUUGAUACAGGACAAUUUCAAUAGCAUCUUAACAUAUUUGAAUAACAAGAAAAAUGGUAAAGAAAUUAUAGUUUCGUAAAAAAUGAGAAGAAACAAUACAUCAGCAUUUAGCUGACCUUUCUUCAAGUUUCUUCCAUACUGGAUAUUAAAAUCAAGAAAAACUUUAGAAAAGGAUUAACGUACCUAGAGAGCAUUCUGAAUAUAUAUAUAAUGUGGAAUCCAUUCUUCCUUACACUGAAUAACUCAUACGUAACUGAUUUUUAAUGUGAUUUAUCUGUACUGCCUCCACUGAGUUCAGCUUAUGUAACUAGAGUAUAAGCAUUUGUAUUUAUGGGGUUGUGUGUAAGAGCUCUGAUGCAUCUAGAUAAGGGAUAGGUUCUUCCUCCCUUCUGCACUUGAAGCACUGUCAGGGAGAACUUCCCCCGCCCAGAGUGACCUUUCAGCUGAUACUCACAGAGAUCCCAUGGCAUCACCAAGCACCAUGAACACACCCUUGGGCAUCAAAAGCUUCCGCAGAGGGCUUCCAGGUAACAACACGAGCCUGGUAAUAGAUCUGCAGCUUUCUGAAACAAUGAAGAUGCAGCAGCACAGGCCAGACAGCACAUUAUAUAAAUAAGAAUGCAACCCAUACAAAACUAUAGCAAACAGUCUCAACCAUCCUGUUAUACAUUUUUUUCAACUUCCAGCAAACAGUGACUGAAGGAUUACUUGUCAAGAAUUGCACCUGGUCAUCUAUCUUUGAAGACCACCAGUAGACAACCUCCACUGCUCUGCCUACUCCUACUUUUAUAUUACACUCUACUCAGUCCCCAAGAGUAUCACGCUCCACUCCUUCUGUCCCGUGAAAAGUUCUUCCUUCUGAUUGUUUUCCAUCUGUUACACAAUUCAUGGGAUUCCUCUGAUUCUUGUAUUGUGAGGAUAUGUGAAUACUUGUUUCUUGUUGCCAUCCAUUACUUUAAGGAUUUCUUUUAUGUUGCUUCCAACUGUUACUCUUCCAGGGUAAGAGUUCUAAACCCUUUGUAUGUCAUAACUAUUAUCUACCUCUGAAGGUCUCUUGUCACCCUCCCUUCAACAUUUUCCUGCCCUACUCUACAUUUUUCAAAAUGGUAUCAGUAAAACUGCAUAUAGGAGUAAGAAUACCUUUGCCCAAAUUAAAAUUCUAUGAUUAUUAUUAUUAUUGAAAUGCUUAGUUUAUUCUUGUUAUCUAUUUUUACUAAUCUAGGAUUAAAACAAAAAGAUGAAUGGUACAGGAUGCUCCAGGAAUUAACUUGCAGCUACAGUACAAAUACAGA